UGUCAGCGCUCGUCGCCAUGCGCCCACGGGCGCACUGUGGCCGACCGAGCAUUAUUGGCGCCGUGGUUGUCCCCUCUGCGCCCUCGGCCUCUCUUGCCCUGUGCACCGCUGUCGCUCGUCCUCUCCUCCCUCGUCGCGUUCCCGCGCCUCCCCGUGAUCGCUGAGCCUCGCCAGAGCGUUGGCCGGAUCCCCGUGGUGACACCCGAGCUCGGUCUCCCUCGCCCGCCUAUAUAUAUGCCUCCCCCGAGCCUUUAGAGCACACCAGAAGCCUCCCCGCACUCCACUACCCCUCCCCAGCCUCUCAUUCGACCUCGAGGAGCUCCCUGUGCCCACCAUCGCCGCCUUGGCCGCCGCCUCUGCUCACUUCGAUUCCGGCGAACCACGCCCCCUCCCUUCAUUCUUCCACCACUAGUCGACCGACCAGACUCCGGCGGACCGCACAACCUCCUUUACUUUUUGCCAAGACCCCGGUGGCGUCGUCUCCAACUCCGGCCGAGCCGCCGUCCGCCACCACGCGAACCCUGCCCGACCCCUUCCUCUCCGGCGUGAGCCAUGGGCUCAGAUCGACGCGGCUCUCCGCGCUGAGCUCUUCGGUAGGUGGAGCGUCGCCGGAGGCCCUCUGUGGCGCCUGCUAGCGUCGCCCGACGCCGGCGGCCUCCCUGCCUCGCGGGCGGGCGUGAGGAAGAUGAAGCCGCCCCGCCCAGCUGGCCAGACGGGCCCCACCACCGUGCGUGAACCCACCCAUCAGCCUCUCCGUGCGUUGACCCGGCCCAGAUGACGUGAAAGCAUACUCCACCCCAAUACGUUUUCGGUUUUCUCAGUUAGGGGCUUGUUUGCAGAAAACUUUUCACAAAUAGGCCCCUGGCGGAAAACACUUUAUAACUUUUCAACCACAACUCCAAAUGAGCCCGCUUCGAGAGAGAACGUUUUCCGGCGAUUCUUUCCGCGAGCUUCUCGCACUUCUUCCCGGUGAUUUCUUCCACCCCAGGCAAGCCACACCCUCCAUUUGCAUGAUUGCAAUGCAGUGACAUGGUUUAUUUAUUUGAACUUGUUUAAAAUAUUGUAUUAGCAAUGUAUGAUUUGUUCAUGGAAUUUCUCGUAGUAUUGUUUUGACCUUGAUAUUGCCAUGAUAUUGCUUGGAGUUCUAGGACUUAUGUUCUGAUGAUUAUGUGGAUGACAUGUGACUUUGGAUUCUUAGUGGCUAUUAUGAUUAUUUUCAUGAUGGUAUCUGGUAUUAUUUUGGAGUAUUACUUUGGACAUGUGCCUUUGGAUUCUUAGUGGCUAUUAUGAUUAUUUUCAUGAUGGUAUCUGGUAUUAUUUUGGAGUAUUACUUUGGAUAUGAUGUUGCCUUUGGAUUAUUAGUGGCUAGUGUUAGUUUCAUCAUGAUGCUAGUUGAUCUUAUGUUUUGGAGUAUGAUGAUGGAGAUGAUGCGUGCAUGUGGAUCAUAGCUGGAUAGUUAGUUCUUGAUAUUUGAGUAGUAGUAUUAUCGUUCUUGAAUUCAUAAUGAUAGUAGUGUUAUACUGUCCUAGGAGUAUUUUGAUACGACGAUAUUAAGCUUUGGAUUAUUUGUUGGAUAUUGCUAUGACUUGGAUUAUAGUUUGAUAGUUGAUAUCGGAGUAUUAGUUAUCAUAGUUAUAUUUUUGGGGAUAAAUUCCGUCAUUAAGUUGGUCAGGUG